UUUUUAUAAUCAAGUGCAGAAACACAAUAAAAUAUGGACAAUUACUCUUAUUUGGAUCAAUUUUUUUUCCAUUCUUUCCUUCUUCCUUAUUAACUGAACCCUCAUAUCCUCCAUAGCCAAAAUUCUCAAAUUUUGAAUCUUAACCAAAAACAACGAUUCAAGUACGAAACCUCAUCAAUAAACUUGGCCCAUUAUCACGAAGAGCUUAGUUUUUCGCUUUACUCUUUCUUUUUUUCCACUUGUAUCAAAAUCCUAAACCCCAAAUUCCCAAAAUAUAACAAUUUAGAAUUUUGCUUGUGUUACUAGCCUCAUCCUUUAAGUGAUUCUUGUGGUAAAAGGAAACAGAUAAGUUGAAGUUGGAAGAAUCCAAGUAUAAAACCCCCUUGAAGAUUGAUCGGAGGGAGAGGCUUUGGAAUUAGAAUCAAAUAUUUUGCUCUCAACAACUCAAUUGGAACUCACAAGCAUCAAUCGCUAAACCCUAAUUCCCAAAACGGAAACACCAACAUCUUCCUAAUUCUCCUUCACGUUCUCCAUCUCUGAUUCUCUCUACACUUUCUCUCUGUACACUUUCUCUCUCUCAUUCCAUCCAAUCCUGGAUCUGAGCCUCACGAUUGAACCGUUGUGUCGGAAACUUCUUGAAGAAUCAAGAUGACUAAUGUUAGUUACUUGCCAACAUAUGCGACAUCUUAGAAUACGCUUUUAACACCUUCACCUUCGGUCUCUAAUGAAAUGCCACCUCUUCACACUAAGAAGUGGAAGAAUCAUCUCUUCACACUAAGAAGUGGAAGAAUCAUUCAGAGGCUUGGAAUCAUUUCAUUGUAUUAUUAGUAGAAGAAAAGAAAGCUUCAUGUAAAUAUUGUGGCACACAAAUUAAGUAUGAUAAUGGAACUAGUUCCAUGCAUGCUCAUUUAUUGAGAUGCCUUGUUUACAAGAGACAGAAGACAUCAUCUUCUAUGACAAGUGAUGAAGAACAUGUUGACCAUCCUUUAAUUGUCAAGUUUGACCAAGAGGCUAUUCGAAGAGAAAUGGUUAAGAUGUUCAUAAACAUGGAGACUCCUUUUUGAAAGGUCGAACAUGAGUCUUUUCAUGAAUUUAUGAGUCUCUCUUCACCAAGAUUUCAGAUUUGUUCACGCACAACAUUGGUACGUGAUGUCUUGAAACUCUGGGACACAUAAAGAAUGAUUUUGAAAAACUUUCUCUCUCUGAAUUGUCGAAGAGUUUGUCUCACCACUGAUAUGUGGACUUCUUGUCAAAAGUUGAGCUAUAUGUGUGUGACGGCCCAUUUCAUUGACAAUAAUUGACACUUACAAAAGAAGAUUUUAACUUUUUGUCAAGUCACAAGCCAUACAGGGGAUGCUAUUUGUGAAACAAUGGAGAUGUGUUUGGAACAAUUGGGGUUUAAACCGUGUGCUUAGUUUGACGGUUGAUAAUGCUUCAUCUAAUGAUGUUGGAGUUGAACGUCUCAAGAGAAGACUUUUGUCUAAGAAUAGUUUAGUUAUGAGCGGAAACCAUUUUUCAUAUGAGGUGUUGCACACACGUAUUGGAUUUAAUUGUGAAAGAAGGUUUGAAAGACAUUGAUAAUUCUGUUUAUAGAGUUUGUUAUGCUAGAUCUUCUCCCGCGAGGCUUGCUAAAUUCAAGGCAUGUAUAGAUGAGGAGAGCAUAGACUAUAAAGGUUUAGUUUCUCUAGAUGUUGAGACUUGUUGGAAUUCAACUUACUUGAUGGUAGUAUCCGCAUCAAAACAUGAAAGAACCUUUGAAGAAUUAGGUUUUUGAAACAAAAGGCACGUGAAAGCUAUAUUUUGACUUAAUGAUUUUGAUUAUAUGCUUAAAAAAGUUAUGCUUAAGUUACAUACAUUUUGAAAUUUUUAUGGUCUGUUAUGUGAUUUAUGGUGUCUAAAGGGGACAAUUUGGUGCCUUAGAUUUAUGUUUUAUUAUCAUCAGAGGCAUUCAAGCUUUGUUUCAUAUGGUUCUGUUUCCACCGAAUUCACUUUAAUUUGUUAUGUCAUUGGAUUCUUUGUGAAAGCUAAGAGGUUUUUCUAAUUGAUCUAGCUUUUGUUGAGCAGAAAAUGGGACUGUUGCUAAUUUUGCUUCUAUUUUAAGUUGCAUUUUGUCCAAUGCUGUCAUUUAAGCUUCUAUUUAAGUUGUAUUGAUCUAACUUUCAUUGAUCUAGGUUUGCUCUAAUGCUGUCAGUGGCAGAAGGGUUUUAUUCAAAUUUUGCUACACUAUACACUUUGUACUAAAUUGCUUAUCGCAUGACAAAAGCUGUUUGUUUAAAUUCAUAUGCAUUACAAAUCUAUAACACCGCUAUGGCCACUAUUUGACAUCAUUAGCUUGAUCUUAAUAACCCAAAGUUUUUGUAACAAAGCUUGAAUGCUUAAGUUACAAACGUUUUGAAAAUUUUAUGGACUGUUAUGUGAUUAAUAGGAAAGUGUGUUUGUUUCUUCUUUGUUUCUUCACUGCCAUUGCUUCUUUUUGUACUACAUACGAGUGGUAUUAGACUUUUACACAACACACGUCUUCAUAUAUAACACUGUCAAUUUAUACGGAAGAUGGUGCUAGUUGUUCAACCUCUUCAACCUCUGUUGCACUCGAAGAUGACUUAACGAUAUGAUGGAUGAUACAAAGAGAGGUUGGAAACUUGGAUGAUGCAAGAGAUUUUGGAAGCAUGAAUAAUUUUUUUAUGAGUUGUUUAUUUUAUGAACAAUUAUGAUUUAUAGAGAAAUGUUUCAUAAUUAUUUUAUGUUAUUGAUCUUUUUUAUGUAACACGUCAAACUUUGUCUUUGUUUUUAAUCGGAAUAUUGUUUAUGAAGAUUAUAAGAGCCAAAUUUAAAGUAA